ensembl:piRNA 21ur-6438 ncRNA
UCUCUAGUCUAGAAUUUGAAA